AGCAGCCGCGGUAAUUCCAGCUCCAAUAGCGUAUAUUAAAGUUGUUGCAGUUAAAAAGCUCGUAGUUGAAUUUCGGGAUUAGUACGUUGGUCGUGCCUUAGGUACGUACUGGUGUUACUGGUUCCUACCUUCUGACGAACCAUCAUGUCAUUAAUUUGGUGUGGCGGGGAAUCAGGACUGUUACUUUGAAAAAAUUAGAGUGUUUAAAGCAGGGUCGCGCUUGAAUACAUUAGCAUGGAAUAAUGAAAUAGGACGUUGACUCUAUUUUGUUGGUUUCUAGGAUUGACGUAAUGAUUAAUAGGGAUAGUUGGGGGCAUUAGUAUUCAAUUGUCAGAGGUGAAAUUCUUGGAUUUAUUGAAGACUAACUACUGCGAAAGCAUAUGCCAAGGAUGUUUUCAUUAAUCAAGAACGAAAGUUAGGGGAUCGAAGACGAUCAGAUACCGUCGUAGUCNNAACCAUAAACUAUGCC
rnacentral:rRNA from 1 species